rnacentral:ncRNA from 1 species
GCAAGUCGAGCGAAUCUUGAGGUGCUUGCACCUCUUGGUUAGCGGCGGACGGGUGAGUAACACGUGGGCAACCUGCCUGUAAGACUGGGAUAACUUCGGGAAACCGAAGCUAAUACCGGAUAAUCCUUUUCCUCUCAUGAGGGAAAGUUGAAAGUCGGUUUACGCUGACACUUACAGAUGGGCCCGCGGCGCAUUAGCUAGUUGGUGAGGUAA